UUUUUAGACCUUCCUGGAGGAGCUUGCUAUUGAACCGAUAGUCCACGCAAUACCUUACCAGUCUUUGAAAUAUUCCAGCUUGUAUACCAUCGUCGUCAGUCUACCUCCUAAGAGAAGUAUACUAAAAGAACUAAACAACUCCUAACGUCAGAUCGAGGUGCAGUUAAUAGACUGGGAAUAUGUGAGCUACAAUAAUUUUUACCAAAUAAGAUUAAAAUAAAUUAUGAAUAACAGUAUGAAAACUGGCAGUUUGAAAUAGGAUUCAGCAGUAAUACCCAAAAGAAAUUGGAUAUGAAGAUAAGCUCUAAAAUGCGC
rnacentral:rRNA from 1 species